UACGAAGGGGGCUAGCGUUGCUCGGAAUCACUGGGCGUAAAGCGCACGUAGGCGGCUUUCUAAGUCAGGGGUGAAAUCCUGGAGCUCAACUCCAGAACUGCCUUUGAUACUGGGGAUCUCGAGUCCGGGAGAGGUGAGUGGAACUCCGAGUGUAGAGGUGAAAUUCGUAGAUAUUCGGAAGAACACCAGUGGCGAAGGCGGCUCACUGGCCCGGUACUGACGCUGAGGUGCGAAAGCGUGGGGAGCAAACAGG
rnacentral:rRNA from 1 species